GGCAUCAAGGAUCAACAAAAAUGGAGGCAUACGGGCUUACAGCCACAGGAUGGAAAUUUGGAAGUGGGUGCGUAAGCCCUCUAAGCCCUUUGGCAAAAGGCUUAAAGCAAGCGAAGCAAAUGACCUGGCUGGUUUGAGAAAGGGUGAUGGGCAACGUUGAUAGAUGAGAAUCUGGAACGAUGGAUGGGCAGGACUGACAGAGCAGGUGAGCAGAGGAGACAGAGAGCGACAGUCAGUGUCUCGGAAACUGACUAAGAGCAUACACCCAUUAAGAGGACAAUGGAUGGUAAGUUUCUAGCAAACUUCCCUACCUCCUUGCUUAGUCCUUUAUUUCCCCCUCCUCCUCAAGUGGAGCAAAGAGUGCAGCCUUUGCAGGCU